GUCUACGGCCAUACCACCCUGAACGCACCCGAUCUCGUCUGAUCUCGGAAGCUAAGCAGGGUUGGGCCUGGUUAGUACUUGGAUGGGAGAAAGUGAAGGUGAACAGUGUAUUUCAAGUACGCCUAAGGUU
rnacentral:rRNA from 1 species